rnacentral:rRNA from 1 species
GAGAGUUUGAUCCUGGCUCAGGACGAACGCUGGCGGCGUGCUUAACACAUGCAAGUCGAGCGAUGAAGCUUCCUUCGGGAAGUGGAUUAGCGGCGGACGGGUGAGUAACACGUGGGUAACCUGCCUCAAAGUGGGGGAAAGCCUUCCGAAAGGAAGAUUAAUACCGCAUAAUAUAAGAGAAUCGCAUGAUUUUCUUAUCAAAGAUUUAUUGCUUUGAGAUGGACCCGCGGCGCAUUAGCUAGUUGGUAAGGUAACGGCUUACCAAGGCAACGAUGCGUAGCCGACCUGAGAGGGUGAUCGGCCACAUUGGAACUGAGACACGGUCCAGACUCCUACGGGAGGCAGCAGUGGGGAAUAUUGCGCAAUGGGGGAGACCCUGACGCAGCAACGCCGCGUGGGUGAUGAAGGUCUUCGGAUUGUAAAGCCCUGUUUUCUAGGACGAUAAUGACGGUACUAGAGGAGGAAGCCACGGCUAACUACGUGCCAGCAGCCGCGGUAAUACGUAGGUGGCGAGCGUUGUCCGGAUUUACUGGGCGUAAAGGGUGCGUAGGCGGAUGUUUAAGUGGGAUGUGAAAUCCCCGGGCUUAACCUGGGGGCUGCAUUCCAAACUGGAUAUCUAGAGUGCAGGAGAGGAAAGCGGAAUUCCUAGUGUAGCGGUGAAAUGCGUAGAGAUUAGGAAGAACACCAGUGGCGAAGGCGGCUUUCUGGACUGUAACUGACGCUGAGGCACGAAAGCGUGGGUAGCAAACAGGAUUAGAUACCCUGGUAGUCCACGCCGUAAACGAUGGAUACUAGGUGUAGGGGGUAUCAACUCCCCCUGUGCCGCAGUUAACACAAUAAGUAUCCCGCCUGGGGAGUACGGUCGCAAGAUUAAAACUCAAAGGAAUUGACGGGGGCCCGCACAAGCAGCGGAGCAUGUGGUUUAAUUCGAAGCAACGCGAAGAACCUUACCUGGACUUGACAUCCCUUGCAUAGCCUAGAGAUAGGUGAAGCCCUUCGGGGCAAGGAGACAGGUGGUGCAUGGUUGUCGUCAGCUCGUGUCGUGAGAUGUUAGGUUAAGUCCUGCAACGAGCGCAACCCUUGUUAUUAGUUGCUACCAUUAAGUUGAGCACUCUAAUGAGACUGCCUGGGUAACCAGGAGGAAGGUGGGGAUGACGUCAAAUCAUCAUGCCCCUUAUGUCCAGGGCUACACACGUGCUACAAUGGUAGGUACAAUAAGACGCAAGACCGUGAGGUGGAGCAAAACUUAUAAAACCUAUCUCAGUUCGGAUUGUAGGCUGCAACUCGCCUACAUGAAGCUGGAGUUGCUAGUAAUCGCGAAUCAGAAUGUCGCGGUGAAUACGUUCCCGGGCCUUGUACACACCGCCCGUCACACCAUGAGAGCUGGUAACACCCGAAGUCCGUGAGGUAACCGUAAGGAGCCAGC